rnacentral:rRNA from 1 species
UACGGGGGGAGCAAGCGUUGUUCGGAUUUACUGGGCGUAAAGGGCGCGUAGGCGGCGCAACAAGUCACUUGUGAAAUCUCCGGGCUUAACUCGGAAAGGUCAAGUGAUACUGUUGUGCUAGAGUGCGGAAGGGGCAACUGGAAUUCUCGGUGUAGCGGUGAAAUGCGUAGAUAUCGAGAGGAACACCGGCGGCGAAGGCGGGUUGCUGGGCCGACACUGACGCUGAUGCGCGAAAGCCAGGGGAGCGAACGGG